rnacentral:rRNA from 1 species
UUAAGCGACUAAGCGUACACGGUGGAUGCCCUGGCAGUCAGAGGCGAUGAAGGACGUGCUAAUCUGCGAUAAGCGUCGGUGAGGUGAUAUGAACCGUUAUAACCGGCGAUUUCCGAAUGGGGAAACCCAGUGUGUUUCGACACACUAUCAUUAACUGAAUCCAUAGGUUAAUGAGGCGAACCGGGGGAACUGAAACAUCUAAGUACCCCGAGGAAAAGAAAUCAACCGAGAUUCCCCCAGUAGCGGCGAGCGAACGGGGAGGAGCCCAGAGCCUGAAUCAGUGUGUGUGUUAGUGGAAGCGUCUGGAAAGGCGUGCGAUACAGGGUGACAGCCCCGUACACAAAAAUGCACAUAUUGUGAGCUCGAUGAGUAGGGCGGGACACGUGGUAUCCUGUCUGAAUAUGGGGGGACCAUCCUCCAAGGCUAAAUACUCCUGACUGACCGAUAGUGAACCAGUACCGUGAGGGAAAGGCGAAAAGAACCCCGGCGAGGGGAGUGAAAAAGAACCUGAAACCGUGUACGUACAAGCAGUGGGAGCCUCUUUAUGGGGUGACUGCGUACCUUUUGUAUAAUGGGUCAGCGACUUAUAUUCUGUAGCAAGGUUAACCGAAUAGGGGAGCCGAAGGGAAACCGAGUCUUAACUGGGCGUUAAGUUGCAGGGUAUAGACCCGAAACCCGGUGAUCUAGCCAUGGGCAGGUUGAAGGUUGGGUAACACUAACUGGAGGACCGAACCGACUAAUGUUGAAAAAUUAGCGGAUGACUUGUGGCUGGGGGUGAAAGGCCAAUCAAACCGGGAGAUAGCUGGUUCUCCCCGAAAGCUAUUUAGGUAGCGCCUCGUGAAUUCAUCUCCGGGGGUAGAGCACUGUUUCGGCAAGGGGGUCAUCCCGACUUACCAACCCGAUGCAAACUGCGAAUACCGGAGAAUGUUAUCACGGGAGACACACGGCGGGUGCUAACGUCCGUCGUGAAGAGGGAAACAACCCAGACCGCCAGCUAAGGUCCCAAAGUCAUGGUUAAGUGGGAAACGAUGUGGGAAGGCCCAGACAGCCAGGAUGUUGGCUUAGAAGCAGCCAUCAUUUAAAGAAAGCGUAAUAGCUCACUGGUCGAGUCGGCCUGCGCGGAAGAUGUAACGGGGCUAAACCAUGCACCGAAGCUGCGGCAGCGACACUAUGUGUUGUUGGGUAGGGGAGCGUUCUGUAAGCCUGUGAAGGUGGCCUGUGAGGGUUGCUGGAGGUAUCAGAAGUGCGAAUGCUGACAUAAGUAACGAUAAAGCGGGUGAAAAGCCCGCUCGCCGGAAGACCAAGGGUUCCUGUCCAACGUUAAUCGGGGCAGGGUGAGUCGACCCCUAAGGCGAGGCCGAAAGGCGUAGUCGAUGGGAAACAGGUUAAUAUUCCUGUACUUGGUGUUACUGCGAAGGGGGGACGGAGAAGGCUAUGUUGGCCGGGCGACGGUUGUCCCGGUUUAAGCGUGUAGGCUGGUUUUCCAGGCAAAUCCGGAAAACCAAGGCUGAGGCGUGAUGACGAGGCACUACGGUGCUGAAGCGACAAAUGCCCUGCUUCCAGGAAAAGCCUCUAAGCAUCAGGUAACAUCAAAUCGUACCCCAAACCGACACAGGUGGUCAGGUAGAGAAUACCAAGGCGCUUGAGAGAACUCGGGUGAAGGAACUAGGCAAAAUGGUGCCGUAACUUCGGGAGAAGGCACGCUGAUAUGUAGGUGAAGCGACUUGCUCGUGGAGCUGAAAUCAGUCGAAGAUACCAGCUGGCUGCAACUGUUUAUUAAAAACACAGCACUGUGCAAACACGAAAGUGGACGUAUACGGUGUGACGCCUGCCCGGUGCCGGAAGGUUAAUUGAUGGGGUUAGCGGCAACGCGAAGCUCUUGAUCGAAGCCCCGGUAAACGGCGGCCGUAACUAUAACGGUCCUAAGGUAGCGAAAUUCCUUGUCGGGUAAGUUCCGACCUGCACGAAUGGCGUAAUGAUGGCCAGGCUGUCUCCACCCGAGACUCAGUGAAAUUGAACUCGCUGUGAAGAUGCAGUGUACCCGCGGCAAGACGGAAAGACCCCGUGAACCUUUACUAUAGCUUGACACUGAACAUUGAGCCUUGAUGUGUAGGAUAGGUGGGAGGCUUUGAAGUGUGGACGCCAGUCUGCAUGGAGCCGACCUUGAAAUACCACCCUUUAAUGUUUGAUGUUCUAACGUUGGCCCGUAAUCCGGGUUGCGGACAGUGUCUGGUGGGUAGUUUGACUGGGGCGGUCUCCUCCUAAAGAGUAACGGAGGAGCACGAAGGUUGGCUAAUCCUGGUCGGACAUCAGGAGGUUAGUGCAAUGGCAUAAGCCAGCUUGACUGCGAGCGUGACGGCGCGAGCAGGUGCGAAAGCAGGUCAUAGUGAUCCGGUGGUUCUGAAUGGAAGGGCCAUCGCUCAACGGAUAAAAGGUACUCCGGGGAUAACAGGCUGAUACCGCCCAAGAGUUCAUAUCGACGGCGGUGUUUGGCACCUCGAUGUCGGCUCAUCACAUCCUGGGGCUGAAGUAGGUCCCAAGGGUAUGGCUGUUCGCCAUUUAAAGUGGUACGCGAGCUGGGUUUAGAACGUCGUGAGACAGUUCGGUCCCUAUCUGCCGUGGGCGCUGGAGAACUGAGGGGGGCUGCUCCUAGUACGAGAGGACCGGAGUGGACGCAUCACUGGUGUUCGGGUUGUCAUGCCAAUGGCACUGCCCGGUAGCUAAAUGCGGAAGAGAUAAGUGCUGAAAGCAUCUAAGCACGAAACUUGCCCCGAGAUGAGUUCUCCCUGACUCCUUGAGAGUCCUGAAGGAACGUUGAAGACGACGACGUUGAUAGGCCGGGUGUGUAAGCGCAGCGAUGCGUUGAGCUAACCGGUACUAAUGAACCGUGAGGCUUAACCUU